rnacentral:rRNA from 1 species
UACGAAGGUCCCAAGCGUUAUCCGGAUUUAUUGGGUUUAAAGGGUGCGUAGGCGGGUUAUUAAGUCAGUGGUGAAAGCCUUCAGCUUAACUGAAGAGUUGCCAUUGAUACUGAUGAUCUUGAGUAUGAUUGAGGUGGGCGGAAUGUGUCAUGUAGCGGUGAAAUGCUUAGAUAUGACACAGAACACCGAUUGCGAAGGCAGCUCACUAAGUCAUAACUGACGCUGAUGCACGAAAGCGUGGGGAGCAAACAGG